AUCUGUGGGAACUGUUUUUUUUUUCUUUCCUUCGCCUCGUUACCGGAUUCCAAAAUAUAGAAAUAGAAUAUAAAUGCAACUGAAAAGCACAGGAUUAGAAGCACUCUGGAAUUCAAAAGGGAGAGUUGUUUGGAACGUAGGAAUCAGAACACCACUUGCAGCUGCAAUGCUGUAACCACCAUGUACUUUAUAUUGCAGUAGGCAUUUUGCCAACUGUACAUUCCUAAAAAAAAAAACUUGGAGCUGCAAGGAACGGUACACGUGAGUUUGUUUAUUAUAUAUGACACAUGAACACCAAAAUUUCCGAUAUCAUAGGCAUCAGCACUAAGCAGACUUGGGCAGGCAACAGCAGUUCG
rnacentral:lncRNA from 1 species